GUUGAACGCUGGCGGCAGGCCUAACACAUGCAAGUCGAGCGGAUGAAGGGAGCUUGCUCCUGGAUUCAGCGGCGGACGGGUGUGUAAUGCCUAGGAAUCUGCCUGGCAGUGGGGGAUAACGUCCGGAAACGGGCGCUAAUACCGCAUACGUGCUGAUGCAGAAAGUGGGGGAUCUUCGGACUUCACGCCAUCUGGUGAGCCUAGGUCGGAUUAGCCAGUUGGUGGGGUAAAGGCCUACCAAGGCGACGAUCCGUAACUGGUCUGAGAGGAUGAUCAGUCACACUGGAGCUGAGACGCCGUCCAGGAUCCUACGGGAGGCAGCAGUGGGGAAUAUUGGACAGUGGGCGGAAGCCUGAUCCAGCCAUGGCACGUGUGUGAAGAAGGUCUUCGGAGUGUAAAGCACUUUAAGUUGGGAGGAAGGGCAUUAAGUUAAUACCUUGCUGUUUUGACGUUACCAUCAGAAUAAGCACCGGCUAACUACGUG
rnacentral:rRNA from 1 species